rnacentral:lncRNA from 1 species
GGGGGCGGGGGGCGAGGGAAGCGGGCAGCGCCACGCCCCCUCCCGCUGCGCCCAGGCCGCCGGCCCUCGCGCCGCAUUCGGCGCCACGCGCGGCCCCGCCCCGCCUCGCGCGUCACGCCCUCUGCCGGGCCCCGCCCGCCGGCUGGCGCGAGGCGGCGGGGGGAGGGGUUGGCGCGCUGCGGGGAAGGGACCGUUACGUCUCCAUGGCGGCCGGCGGGACGGCUCUCUGCUCCUACUCUGCCGGCCGCCGGGCCCGCCGCCUGCGGCCGAACCCGCCUCGAGGUCGGCAGCGUUCGAGGGGAGAAGUGCGUUUAGGGAAGAAGAGUAGAAGUAAGCUGAAAUUGUCCAUCAACUGA